rnacentral:RNase_P_RNA from 1 species
GAAGUCGGCUGGGCAGUCGCCGGUCACGUAAGUGACGGGAGGAAGGUCCGGGCUCCGAAGAGCAGGGUAACGGCUAACGGCCGUCCGCCGUGAGGCGAGGACUAGGGCCACAGAGACGAGCGUAUUAAGUUACGGUGAAACGCGGCAACCUCUACCCGGAGCAAUAUCAAAUAGGCAUGCGCAGUGAGCGAGCAAUCGCUCACCCAAGGCGGCUCGUUGGAGCAUGCGGGUAGGUAGCUUGAGGCGUGCGGCAACGUACGUCCUAGAGGAAUGACCGCCACGCGCGAGGGGCAACCCAAGCACGAACAGAACCCGGCCUACAGGCCGACUUCACUC